AACGAACGCUGGCGGCAUGCCUAAUACAUGCAAGUCGAACGAGAUCUUCGGAUCUAGUGGCGCACGGGUGCGUAACGCGUGGGAAUCUGCCCUUGGGUUCGGAAUAACUUCUGGAAACGGAAGCUAAUACCGGAUGAUGACGUAAGUCCAAAGAUUUAUCGCUCAAGGAUGAGCCCGCGUAGGAUUAGGUAGUUGGUGAGGUAAAGGCUCACCAAGCCGACGAUCCUUAGCUGGUCUGAGAGGAUGAUCAGCCACACUGGGACUGAGACACGGCCCAGACUCCUACGAGAGGCAGCAGUAGGGAAUAUUGGACAAGGGGCGUAAGCCUGAUCCAGCAAUGCCGCGUGAGUGAUGAAGGCCUUAGGGUUGUAAAGCUCUUUUACCCGGGAUGAUAAGGACAGUACCGGGAGAAUAAGCUCCGGCUAACUCCGU
rnacentral:rRNA from 1 species